CCUACGGGAGGCUGCAGUGAGGAAUAUUGGUCAAUGGCCGGAAGGCUGAACCAGCCAAGUCGCGUGAGGGAGGAAGGUGCAGUGCGUCGUAGACCUCUUUUGCCGGGGAACAAAAGGCGGGACUCGUCCGGUCUUGUAUGUACCCGAUGAAUAAGCAUCGGCUAACUCCGUGCCAGCAGCCGCGGUAAUACGGAGGAUGCGAGCGUUAUCCGGCUUUAUUGGGUUUAAAGGGUGGGUAGGCGGGCUUUUAAGUCAGCGGGGAAAGUCGGGGGAUCAACCCUAGAAUGGCCGUUGAAACUGGGGGGCUUGAGUAUGUCGGAGGCAGGCGGAAUGCGCGGUGUAGCGGUGAAAUGCAUAGAUAUCACGCAGAACCCCGAUUGCGAAGGCAGCGUGCCGAGCCAUGACUGACGCUGAGGCACGAAAGCGCGGGUAGCGAACAGGAUUAGAUACCCUAGUAGUC
rnacentral:rRNA from 1 species